rnacentral:rRNA from 1 species
GACGAACGCUGGCGGCGUGCUUAACACAUGCAAGUCGAACGGAAAGGCCCUGCUUUUGUGGGGUGCUCGAGUGGCGAACGGGUGAGUAACACGUGAGUAACCUGCCCUUGACUUUGGGAUAACUUCAAGAAACUGGGGCUAAUACCGGAUAGGAGCUCCUGCUGCAUGGUGGGGGUUGGAAAGUUUCGGCGGUUGGGGAUGGACUCGCGGCUUAUCAGCUUGUUGGUGGGGUAGUGGCUUACCAAGGCUUUGACGGGUAGCCGGCCUGAGAGGGUGACCGGCCACAUUGGGACUGAGAUACGGCCCAGACUCCUACGGGAGGCAGCAGUGGGGAAUAUUGCACAAUGGGCGGAAGCCUGAUGCAGCAACGCCGCGUGCGGGAUGACGGCCUUCGGGUUGUAAACCGCUUUCGCCUGUGACGAAGCGUGAGUGACGGUAAUGGGUAAAGAAGCACCGGCUAACUACGU